AGCGAACGUUAGCGGCGGGCCUAACACAUGCAAGUCGAACGAGAAUGAGGGGGCAACUCCUCUAGUAAAGUGGCGGACGGGUGCGUAACACGUUGGUAAUCUACCUUCCGGCGGGGGACGAACAGUCCGAAAGGAUUGCUAAUACCGCAUACGUCGACGAGGUCUCCGGAUCUUGUCGGGAAAGACGGCCUCUCCUUGGAAGCUGUCACCGGAAGAUGAACCUGCGGCCCAUCAGCUAGUUGGUGAGGUAACGGCUCACCAAGGCGAAGACGGGUAGCUGGUCUGAGAGGAUGAUCAGCCACACUGGGACUGCGACACGGCCCAGACUCCUACGGGAGGCAGCAGUGGGGAAUAUUGGGCAAUGGGCGCAAGCCUGACCCA
rnacentral:rRNA from 1 species